CCAAUAGCGUAUAUUAAAGUUGUUGCAGUUAAAAAGCUCGUAGUUGAAUUUCAGGCCUGGCUGGGCGGUCCGCCUUUUGGGUGAGUACUGCCUGUGGUCGGGUCCUACCUUCUGGCGAAGCGUCAUGGCCUUAACCGGCCGUGGCGGGGAACCAGGACUUUUCCUGUGAAAAAAUUAGAGUGUUCAAAGCAGGCAGUCGCUUGGAUACAUUAGCAUGGAAUAAUGGAAUAGGACAAUGGUUCUAUUUGUUGGUUUCUAGGACCGUUGUAAUGAUUAAUAUGGAUAGUUGUGGGCAUUAGUAUUCAAUUGUCAGAGGUGAAAUUCUUGGAUUUAUUGAAGACUAACUACUGCGAAAGCAUUUGCCAAGGAUGUUUUCAUUAAUCAAGAACGAAAGUUAGGGGAUCGAAGACGAUCAGAUACCGUCGUAGUCUUAACCAUAAACUAUGCCGACUAGGAAUCGGGCGAUGUUGACAAAAUGACGCGCUCGGCACCUCAUG
rnacentral:rRNA from 1 species